AUUGAACGCUGGCGGCAGGCCUAACACAUGCAAGUCGAACGAGUGGCGGACGGGUGAGUAAUUUCUUGGCACCUGCCUGAUGGAGGGGGAUAACUACUGGAAACGGUAGCUAAUACCGCAUACCAUCAGAUGUGCCCAGAGGGGAUUAGCUUGUUGGUGGGGUAAAGGCGCACCAAGGCGACGAUCCCUAGCUGGUCUGAGAGGACGACCAGCCACACUGGGACUGAGACACGGUCCAGACUCCUACGGGAGGCAGCAGUGGGGAAUUUUGGACAAUGGGCGAAAGCCUGAUGCAGCCAUGCCGCGUGUAUGAAGAAGGCCUUCGGGUUGUAAAGUACUUUUGGCAGGGAAGCGGUACCCGAAGAAGAAGCACCGGCUAACUACGUGCCAGCAGCCGCGGUAAGAG
rnacentral:rRNA from 1 species